rnacentral:lncRNA from 1 species
UGGCGUUCGGGCCGCACCCGCGCGCCUUGUGACUUCGAGCCAGUUGUUUGGCUCUCUGUGCCUCAGUUUCCUCAUCUGGGGAUGGAGUGAGUCAUGCUAACCUCCCAGGCUGCCGUGAGGAUGCAGCGAAUGCACAGGGAGUGGGGAAGGCCAGGGCCAGAUUCUGCAGCGCUUCCCAGAGAAGGACUGGGAGGACAACCCAUUCCCCCAGGGCAUCGAGCUGUUUUGCCAGCCCAGCGGGUGGCAGCUGUGUCCCGAGAGGAAUCCACCGACCUUCUUUGUUGCUGUCCUCACCGACAUCAACUCCGAGCGCCACUACUGCGCCUGCUUGACCUUCUGGGAGCCAGCGGAGCCUUCACAGGAAACGACGCGCGUGGAGGAUGCCACAGAGAGGGAGGAAGAGGGGGAUGAGGGAGGCCAGACCCACCUGUCUCCCACAGCACCUGCCCCAUCUGCCCAGCUGUUUGCACCGAAGACGCUGGUACUGGUGUCGCGACUCGACCACACGGAGGUGUUCAGGAACAGCCUUGGCCUCAUCUAUGCCAUCCACGUGGAGGGCCUGAAUGUGUGCCUGGAGAACGUGAUUGGGAACCUGCUGACGUGCACUGUGCCCCUGGCUGGGGGCUCGCAGAGGACGAUCUCUUUGGGGGCUGGUGACCGGCAGGUCAUCCAGACUCCACUGGCCGACUCGCUGCCCGUCAGCCGCUGCAGCGUGGCCCUGCUCUUCCGCCAGCUAGGCAUCACCAACGUGCUGUCUUUGUUCUGUGCCGCCCUCACGGAGCACAAGGUUCUCUUCCUGUCCCGGAGCUACCAGCGGCUCGCCGAUGCCUGUAGGGGCCUCCUGGCACUGCUGUUUCCUCUCAGAUACAGCUUCACCUAUGUGCCCAUCCUGCCGGCUCAGCUGCUGGAGGUCCUCAGCACACCCACGCCCUU